rnacentral:tRNA from 1 species
CCCGGCGUAGCUCAGCCGGAAAGAGCACCGGGGGCGCUGGCGCCUUUAGGGGCGCGGAAUACCCGGAGGUCGUCGGUUGAAAGCCGGCCGCCGAGA